rnacentral:lncRNA from 1 species
ACACGGAGGGAACCUGGAUUAUUUCAGACACAAUUUUAGCAGAUGCUUCAGCUGAUGACUUAACUGACUCGGCCAAAUCAGCGAGUUCUUUCUGAAUUUGGUCAGGCGACUUUCCAUCAUCAGCUCCAAUAUAACAGACAAUGACAUCAGGAUCUUCUUCACCGUAUUCUCCCACCAAAAGCUCUACCUGAUGCUCAUUUCUGAGCUUCUGGAGAUUCUUACCCUUGGAACCAAUAACAUAUCUUUGAAGAAGCGGAUCAAUUGUUACCUUGUAAAACUUGCUCUCCGGAAAUUGAUUAACAAGGGCGAGAAGUUUAGCACGUCCCUCACGGACAGCUUCCUGUGAUUUACCAGAAAUCUCAAUUAUGACUGUUUUAUUGGAAUUUGACUGAAGCUCCUCACGCUUUGGUAAGUGAUAUUGUACGGCACAUUCUUCUUCUAAUGGAAUCAAUUUCCUCGAACGAAGGAACAAACGAGCUACUAUGCUAGCAAUAUCAAAGGGGUUUUUAGAGGAUGCAUAUGCUGUUGUGAUAUUUACAGCGUCAACAAUAGUAGAGUUUGCACGUUCAAGAGUUAAACGGAUACCUUCACUGAUGUUUAAGGCAGGGCCACGGACACUAACGACAUCAGAAUCGCCAUUAAUAGGAGGCAAAAUGACGGAACAUCCGGAUUUUCUCAAAAUAUCCUGGAUACCAACCCCCUUCUCUCCGUUAAUGAAACGGUGUUGACGACGAGGAAUAGGUAGCAUUGUGGGGAUGGUAGUACGAAGAAGUUCCUCAGCUUGACCUUGAAGAUACAAAGCACAUUCGCGUACAGCUGAUUUUUCACCAGACAAAACAAUGGGAUUGACAGGGGCAGAAGGAUCUAAAUAUGCAAAAGGAAUUUGAACCUUCAAAUCCCUACCCUCUUCAAGCUCUUUAAUAUUUUUACCGUCUGGGCCCCUAAGAAGACUGUAUAACUCAGUAGAAAUGUGACUGAUACGAACAGUAGUGUUACUGGUUCUUUCGUUGAUGAUAGCUUCAAUAUCCUUUUGGGCAAGUUCAACACCUUCGAAAUCGCCCUCAAUAGUAAUCGUAGUCAUUUCAUAUUGGGGUUCCAAAUCGUCGAGGGUAGAAGCAGCUGAAUUUUCCUCCUUUUCAGGUUUCUUGGCAUCAUCAGAGGACUCGUUUGCGGUGUUGUUACGCUUGGGAAUUUGAAUGCGUGUUGAAGUGCGAUCCAUAAUAGACUUUAAGUUUUGUCCAUUAGUACCAAUUAUAGCCCCAACAACAAAAACAGGACAGGGCAUAGUUUUCGUUUCACGACGACCAAUCAAUUUCAAAAUUUGGCGUCUAGCCGCUUUGACAGCAGAAGUCUUUCCUUGAAUUAAAAACGUGGUAUUCUUAGUUUUUGAUGCAGUAGAAACAUUAAUACGUGUAGAGGUCUGAUGCAUGACAGUACGAACAAUUUCAGCAACAGAAUUAGGCUUUCCCACGAAAGACAUACGAGGAGCUUGAUUAUCAGGGCUUAAAAUCAAAGUUUCCGUAACAAAAUCAGUUUCUUUUACCGAAGAAAGAGUUGAUUUUGUAGAAGAUGCACGAGAGCUAGCAGAGAACGGAAUCUUGUCUCUGGAAACUGAAUCAGAACCAGCAACGCUAGUAUUGGAAGCUGUCUUUCUGACCCACGAAACAAUCCUUGGCUUGCUGGGACCAGUUUUAGAAAGAAGUGUAGGAAAUGCAUCCUCAGAAUGGACGUCAAUGGCAGGUUUUUUGGAAAAUGAUUUCGAAUUGUUUUGCUUCUUUCCUUGCUGAGCAUUUUCAUGCUUUUGCUGUAAUAUAGCAGAAGGAGUCAAUCCAAACGAGGAACCAGCAGCAGAUGAAGCAGCGCUUAAUAGUCCAUUUGUGCUGGCACUUUUGCUACCAGAAGGAACCUGAGAUUCAGUUCCUUGCAAGUUUUCAUCGUUAGUCAGUUUCUGAAAAUCAUAUGAGUCCAUCGUUGUUGGUUGCUCAAGAUUAGAGAGAUGUUCCAUUAGGCAAGGUCCCGAAAG